AUCUGAUAUCAGAAGCAAGAUCAAAUCAUCUCCGUGAAAACACAGCUCUUGCUCUUCUAAGCCUCAGGAACUGACAUUAAAAGAAUCAUGCUCCUGGGGAUUCUUGCCAUUUGCUUCUGUGCUGUUACUGCAGCUCCAAGUUUUAGUUCGGGUGGAGAUCGUACUUUUCCUCAUGAUAUUACAAGCCAAUCUGAACUGACACGGCUAUACAACACCCCAGUCGUAACAGCUGAAAGGGUAGAGAGGCCUUUGGGUAUUGCUGGCUGGUUAGGGUUAAAACAUUCAGG